AGUAAGUGCAAAAUAGCCCACAACGAAAUAAAUAGUGAAGUAGUACCUUGUCCUUUGAGAACAGCAAAUGUCACCUUAAAACCUUUCUUACUGCUUGAAAGUAUAUUGUUAUAAUGUAUCUGAUGGACUCAGCAUCUAUUGCCUUCCUGUGGAAACAGUUUUAAACUAACAAUAGAGGGAUGAAUCAGGAACAAACAAAACAAGAGGUUGCAGCACUGAAAAAUAAGUAAUUUAUUGUCUUUGCAAGUGCCAUGUGAAUUUCUGUGAUGAAAUUAUUUAUUCUUAUUUAACAAAAAAUUAUGUGCAAAUUCUUCUAUAUUUAAGAUGUUUUGCUGUUGUCCUGUUUUUUUUUUAAUUUAUGCUUCUCGUUUGUGUAUAAAGUGCACUUUGUGAGUUUGUAUAAUACACAGCACUGGUGGCUUUGUAUUUUUCUUUUUACAGAAGGCUUUCUGUGUGAAACAGGUGUAUGUGUUUUCAGCAUUUUGCAUGCAUUUUCAGUCUGCCACUCUCUUAAAUUUUAAACUUCCAUUGCUAGUAACAUUCCUUACUAAUCACUAUGUUAACAAGCCAUUUAAAUAACAAUAACAUUGAUGUUUUUCAGAUCAUGAGUUUUAAAAAUGUAUAUUUAGUCAAGCAAGUUGCAAGUUUUUAACUAGAGGACAUAUAUACCUUAGCACCCACGGAAGCUAAGACACAAUGGAGAAUAGUGUUUGAAACAGGCAUAGCCUGCAAUUCCAGCAAAUAGGAGGCUGAGCGAGGAAGAUCAUGAACUUUAGAGCAGUCUUGGAUACAUAGCAGAACCAGUUUCAGUCACACCACUGAGAAAUAUAUACAAGGAGAUAUUAAUGUAUUAUGUGAUUGUUAAGGACACAUAAAAUUUAAGCGUUAAAGAAUGAUAAUCACAAAGACUCACACCUUUAGAAACAACUCUCCACAAAUACAGUGUCUUAACCUCUGCCAUCUGUAAGAGAUCCCAUAGACGAUCUCAAACAAAAAUGAAUUUAUUUAUUUCUGAUAAUACAAGUCAUAGCUCUUAUGGGUGUAGAUGUACGUAACAAAAUGUGACUCUUUACACUACUAUCAACUGACCAGAGUAUAGUAUGCGGGAUUAGCAGGAAACACUCUGGUGACAGCAGCUCAUUUGUGACUGGGACUGUGUAGUCCAGUUCCAGAAAUAAAGUCAAGCACUCUUGGCCCCACUGUACACUUCACUGGGUCAAUCCCUGGUUCCGAUGUUCCUCCAUUAAUAACUUCCUUUUUAGUAAAUUAACAAGAUCAGUCAGUGUAGCAAGCCAGAUCCACAGGCAGGUUCAGAAGCCCAGGGUGUGCACUGUGGCUGCAGCACGCUGCUAGAAAUAGAAUGAAUACACAUUGAAGCCUACUCUGAACUGAGAACCCUGCGAAACAGCACAGCCAUCAUGAGUUAAUACCACUCGUCUGUUUACAGGGAAACAUGGCGUCCUGCAAAUGCAUUACAUUUUUUUAAUCAUUUCAUAGCUAUGAAAUAAAAGAAAUCACCACGAGAACAAAAUAGGUCCUUUGAAGCCAAUGCAAAAUCACAUUGAAGGGGUUUUAUUCAUUGGAGCACACAGAAAAGGCACUUGUGCAGUUUCUGUAGUAUUUCUCUCUUUGACCAACAAUCUGCAGUUGUGGAGAAUCAAACCAGUAGAUCAGCCUGACUGAAGAGUUAGGUAAAACGGUGGUAAUAAGCCCUUGUUAACGUGAAAUUGGGCAUGGCUUAUUGAAUCACAUCACCACAAAACAUAUCAAGCUAUAAUCAAGUCAAUAAUUCUUUUCAAUCAAAUGAUGAGGACAUAUUGCAAUGUGGGUUCGUUUGUUAUUAAGUUGAUGUACAGGAAUUAAAAGCAGUAAAAAAAAAAGAUAUACGCACCGAAUAAAUUCUUGGUAUGGAACAUAAUUCUGGAGCAUGUAUUAUGGUGGAUAUAAUAUGCAACUUACGUAUGUACAGAGAGAAUAGGACUUUGACAUAACAUUAGUUCACCCAGUUAAUUGUGACUUAUUAAUAUAUCUGCAUCUUUUCAAUAUGUUUGCUCUCUGGUCCUUGUUAGGUGGGAAACCCUGUUCCCAAGCCCUUGCACUACAAAAGAAUCCUGUCUUCCCUUCUCCAUCAACCCUGCCCACAAGGAGAAAACUCCUGCCUCACAAGUCAUCACCCUUGACCUUCUCUGUUCUUCCAACCCACCAAAGAGUGCCUUCUAAGAGCUCAUCUUUUGACCAUCUAUGGGUACAGCCCCAGCUCCUGGCUCACAUGUGAACAUUCCUUGCUGAAGAUAUAUAUGUAAAACUCCCUUGCCUUAGCCCAGGCGUCCAACUUCCCUGACCCUGUUCUUUGGGACAGGUGAACCCAGUAAAUCUGCCUGGGAGCAGCACCCCAAAAAGAAUCUGUAUUU
rnacentral:lncRNA from 1 species